AACGCACAUUGCGCCCUCCGGUAUUCCGGGGGGCAUGCCUGUUCGAGCGUCAUUACAACCCUCAAGCUUUGCUUGGUAUUGGGUGCUGCCGUUUUGGUACACCUUAAAAUCAGUGGCGGUGCCACCUGGCUUCUAGCGUAGUAAUACUCCUCGCUAUGGAGAUGGGCGUGUACUUGCCAUAACCCCCAAUUUUUUAAGGUUGACCUCGGAUCAGGUAGGGAUACCCGCUGAACUUAA
rnacentral:misc_RNA from 1 species